rnacentral:lncRNA from 1 species
GAGAGAGAGAGAGAGAAACGCACCACAGCAGCUAUCGUGACAAAGUCCAGUCCAAGAGACCGGCGGCGAAAGGAAGAGCUGAGGUGAAGGUGCUCCUUUCCUUCUCCUACCCCCACCAGAGCUCCGGCGACUGGUCUUCUCCUCUAGACCACUGCCCUCCUUCCCUUUCCCCACGCAACGAUUCUCCGAAGACGGGCAUUUUUUAUUUGGCGGCCAGCUGCCGUUUCUUUUUACAUCCAAUGGCUGCUCGAGGGCUGGUUGGGCGGGCACGGAAAGCGAGCGAUCGGGGGAGGAGAAUCCAAGCGGGCGGCGGCGGAGGAGGCGGGCAGAAAGCGAAAGACCGGCGGAAGAGCUCGGAGGCGGAGGAUGAGGGAAGAGAAAAAAACCUACUUCGCCUGCAACUCCACCCUGCGUCGACAAUGAUCUGCGUUCAGAUCUCCACCGACAUGAAACAUUUAAUGGGACGAAGACGAGACGACGAAGAGCGCACGAGAACUGGUGGGUCUUUUCUCCAAUUUUC